GAUGAACGCUGACAGAAUGCUUAACACAUGCAAGUCUACUUGAAUUUGGGUUUUUAACUUAGGUUUGGGUGGCGGACGGGUGAGUAACGCGUAAAGAACUUGCCUCACAGCUAGGGACAACAUUUAGAAAUGAAUGCUAAUACCUAAUAUUAUGAUAAUAGGGCAUCCUAUAAUUAUGAAAGCUAUAUGCGCUGUGAGAGAGCUUUGCGUCCUAUUAGCUAGUUGGUAAGGUAAAGGCUUACCAAGGCGAUGAUAGGUAGCCGGCCUGAGAGGGUGGACGGCCACAAGGGGACUGAGAUACGGCCCUUACUCCUACGGGAGGCAGCAGUGGGGAAUAUUGGACAAUGGAGGAAACUCUGGUCCAGCAAUUCUGUGUGUGUGAAGAAGGUCUUCGGAUUGUAAAACACUUUUAGUUGGGAAGAAACAAAUGACGGUACCA
rnacentral:rRNA from 1 species